CAUGUAGGCGGCAUGACAAGUCUGGUGUGAAAUAUCUCGGCUCAACCGAGAAAACGCACUGGAAACUGUCAAGCUUGAGUAUCGGAGGGGAAGCUAGAAUUCCUGGUGUAGGGGUGAAAUCUGUAAAUAUCAGGAAAAAUACCGGUGGCGAAGGCGAGCUUCUGGCCAGAUACUGACGCUGAGAUGCGAAAGCGUGGGGAGCGAACAGGAUUAGAUACCCUGGUAGUCC
rnacentral:rRNA from 1 species